GGGUGUAUAGCUCAGUUGGUUAGAGCGCUACGUUCACAUCGUAGAGGCCCCUGGUUCGAGUCCAGGUACACCCACCA
rnacentral:tRNA from 1 species